GUAUUUUAGAACUUAAACUUCACCAGCCCUUCUUGAAGAUAAUGUUUUCUAGUCCCAGUUCAGCCAGUCAUGCAUGGAUUUGCAUUUUGGUUGGGAAAUUCUUGGACCAGCCCAUGGUCAAUCAUCUGUACUUCAAAUGGGCUGGGCAACCAGUCCUAUAAAAAGGACCUUUGCUGCAUGACUGCAGACUCCUGGUACUCAAGUCCUGGACUACUUUGGAGAACCUGAUCCUGAGACCUCAGCACGAUGUCUUACCACCAACAACAGUGCAAGCAGCCCUGCCAGCCUCCUCCUGUGUGCCCACCCCCUAAGUGCCCAGAGCCUUGUCCUCCUCCACAGUGCCCAGAGCCUUGUCCUCCCCCUAAGUGCCCAGAGCCUUGUCCUCCCCCAAAGUGCCCAGAGCCUUGUCCUCCUCCAAAGUGCCCAGAGCCUUGUCCUCCUCCACAGUGCCCAGAGCCUUGUCCUCCUCCACAGUGCCCAGAGCCUUGUCCACCCCCAAAGUGUCCAGAGCCUUUUCCUCCCGCAAAGUGCCCUGAGCCCUGCCCCCCUCAGCCAUGCCAGCAGAAAUGUCCUCCUGUGCAACCUCCUCCAGCCUGCCAGCAGAAGUGCCCACCCAAGAGCUAGUGAGUGCUUCCGCUGUCACCGGGACCAAGUGAGAAGAAUGAAAUCUGUCUCUGAGGCUUCUGUAGAAACACUCCCAUCUUCCCUUCAAAGUCUCUCAUGGAUGCAGAAAAAUCUUCUCCACUCUCUAUCCCCCAUGUUUCUGUGUUGAUUCCUCACAAGGAAAGGGUUCAAUGAGGUUGGUCUGCUUCUGCCUUCAUGGGGCUGCUGAGAAUGAUCCUUCCACACUGGUUCUGUGCACCUGCGACUCAGGGUGAAGACCAGAAGCUUUUCCCCCUGGGCUCUGAGAGGAUGGUUUUCAAAACUGUCAGUCAACUUGGUUGCAUUGUUGUUACUCUGGUUACAUCUCCUGAAUAAAGUACCAUUUUCUUGAUA